AGUUUACUGCCUUGUUCGUACCCGGCGAAACUACAGUUGAGCCAACAUUUGAAUACCGGGAGGCAAGAUGCCGCGUCCAGUGCGUGCUUUUACGAAAGCUGACGCCGGAGGGCCGGCUGUAAGGGAUUCUCUAUCGGGAUUUCCAAAUGCCGCCCACCUGUAACAUACAGGUUCAAUUCAACUCGCUAGAACGGCAAGGCGGUUAUCCU
rnacentral:other from 1 species